rnacentral:rRNA from 1 species
GAUGAACGCUCGCGGGAGGCCUAACACAUGCAAGCCGAGCGGUAGAGUUUCUUCGGAAACUUGAGAGCGGCGCACGGGUGCGUAACACGUGUGCAACCUACCUUUAUCUGGGGGAUAGCCUUUCGAAAGGAAGAUUAAUACCCCAUAAUAUAAUGAUUGGCAUCAAUUAUUAUUGAAAACUCCGGUGGAUAGAGAUGGGCACGCGCAAGAUUAGAUAGUUGGUGAGGUAACGGCUCACCAAGUCAAUGAUCUUUAGGGGUCCUGAGAGGGAGAUCCCCCACACUGGUACUGAGACACGGACCAGACUCCUACGGGAGGCAGCAGUGAGGAAUAGUGGACAAUGGGUGAGAGCCUGAUCCAGCCAUCCCGCGUGAAGGAUGACGGUCCUAUGGAUUGUAAACUUCUUUUGUACAGGGAUAAACCUACCCUCGGGAGGGUAGCUGAAGGUACUGUACGAAUAAGCACCGGCUAACUCCGUG